rnacentral:rRNA from 1 species
GAUCCUGGCUCAGAUUGAACGCUGGCGGCAUGCCUUACACAUGCAAGUCGAACGGUAACAGGGAGCUUGCUCCGCUGACGAGUGGCGAACGGGUGAGUAAUAUAUCGGAACGUACCAUUCAGUGGGGGAUAACGUAGCGAAAGUUACGCUAAUACCGCAUAUUCUGUGAGCAGGAAAGCAGGGGAUCGCAAGACCUUGCGCUGAUUGAGCGGCCGAUAUCAGAUUAGCUUGUUGGUGAGGUAAAAGCUCACCAAGGCGACGAUCUGUAGCGGGUCUGAGAGGAUGAUCCGCCACACUGGAACUGAGACACGGUCCAGACUCCUACGGGAGGCAGCAGUGGGGAAUUUUGGACAAUGGGGGCAACCCUGAUCCAGCCAUGCCGCGUGAGUGAAGAAGGCCUUCGGGUUGUAAAGCUCUUUCAGCCGGGAAGAAAACGCAUGGGUUAAUACCCUGUGUGGAUGACGGUACCGGAAUAAGAAGCACCGGCUAACUACGUGCCAGCAGCCGCGGUAAUACGUAGGGUGCGAGCGUUAAUCGGAAUUACUGGGCGUAAAGCGUGCGCAGGCGGUUUUGUAAGACAGGCGUGAAAUCCCCGGGCUUAACCUGGGAACUGCGUUUGUGACUGCAAGGCUAGAGUACGGCAGAGGGGGGUGGAAUUCCACGUGUAGCAGUGAAAUGCGUAGAGAUGUGGAGGAACACCAAUGGCGAAGGCAGCCCCCUGGGUCGAUACUGACGCUCAUGCACGAAAGCGUGGGUAGCAAACAGGAUUAGAUACCCUGGUAGUCCACGCCCUAAACGAUGUCAACUAGGUGUUGGGAGGGUAAAACCUUUUAGUACCGGAGCUAACGCGUGAAGUUGACCGCCUGGGGAGUACGGCCGCAAGGUUAAAACUCAAAGGAAUUGACGGGGACCCGCACAAGCGGUGGAUGAUGUGGAUUAAUUCGAUGCAACGCGAAAAACCUUACCUACCCUUGACAUGCCAAGAACUUUCCAGAGAUGGAUUGGUGCCCGAAAGGGAACUUGGACACAGGUGCUGCAUGGCUGUCGUCAGCUCGUGUCGUGAGAUGUUGGGUUAAGUCCCGCAACGAGAGCAACCCUUGUCGUUAAUUGCCAUCAUUUAGUUGGGCACUUUAACGAGACUGCCGGUGACAAACCGGAGGAAGGUGGGGAUGACGUCAAGUCCUCAUGGUCCUUAUGGGUAGGGCUUCACACGUCAUACAAUGGUCGGUACAAAGGGUCGCCAAGCCGCGAGGUGGAGCCAAUCCCAGAAAGCCGAUCGUAGUCCGGAUCGCAGUCUGCCACUCGACUGCGUGAAGUCGGA